UCACCGAGCAGCAGAGAUCGGGAGCUCCUGAAACCUGUCGCCACCACCGUUGACCAUGACGGCGGCGCGUCGUCGUCAAAACCCUCGCCGGCGUCCAGUUCACCGUCGCAUAACUCCGGCCGUGAGUUGGUAGAAGUUGCGAAAGAUGUGAAAACGACAAAGGAUCCGACAUACGCUAAAAUAUUGAGUUCUACGUUGACUUCGAUAUUGGGUUGG
rnacentral:lncRNA from 1 species